AUUGCACCAUUGCACUCCAGUGUGGGCGACAAAGUGAAAUUCUGUCUCAAAAACAACAACAACAACAACAACAAAAUCAACAAGAAAAAAGUGUGGAAAAGGUUUGCUUGAACCAAACAACCUGUCAACUUUCUAAGAGGAAUUAGGCCCUCAUAAAAGCCAGCCAACGUGUAUAUUGACUGUGUUCCUUAUAAAAUGUCUUUUUUUGUGUCCUGAAGAUGAUCAUUGUGUCCUGAUACUUAAGUGACCCUUGGGACUGAUCUGACUGAGUUGACCGCUAGAAGACUGAUUGCUUAGAAGGAAGUUGAUCAGACUGUGGGCAAAGGCAAUCUGACAUCUCUUCUGCUCUGAAGGUGCUUGACAGAUGCUAAUCCUUGCACUAACCAGAUUCAAAGACCUGAAACUUGCAUGGAGAGCCAGGUGGGCUGCAGCCACUGUAAAGGAGCUUCUUCUGCCUCAUGGUUUCUCAACCUUGGCACUAUUGCCAUUUGGGGCUGGACGCUUCCUUGUUGUGGGAGACUGUCUUGCACGUUGUCCUGACCUCUACCGCUAGAUGCCAGAGGCACCCUGUACUCCAUUUGUGACAAACAAAAUGUCUCUAGACAUUGCCAAGUGUUCCCUAGGGGCAAAAUUGCACUCCCCCCACACACACACACCCAAUUGAAAACCACUGGAAUAGGGCAACGUUUUCAAACUAGGGUGUAUCAGAAUCUCCUAGAAGGCUUGUUGAAACACAGAUUCUUGGGCACCAUCCUGAGUUUGAUUCAAUAAGUUUUGGGUGAGACCUGAAAAUUUUCAAUUCUCUAAAAACUUUCUGGAUAACAACACAUUCUCAACUAGCUCAGCUUAGUUCUACUUAGAACAGAGGGUGAAGUUCUGCUUUCACUCUUCCCUCCUUAAUACAAGGUGUGCAAGUCCCUACUUUCCUACAAAGCCUGGCUUGAUCAGCCUUCCUCCUCUAGCCAUAUGUUUUGGGUAUCAGCACUAUAUUCAGCUCCCGAGAAUGGCUCUCAUAGCAUCUGAGUCAUGUGUAGUGAUCCCAUUCUUCUUGCCAGUGAUCAGUAGAGACAUAUGAUAAAAUUCUGGCUAACGAGAUGUGAGGUGAUGUUUUAUCUCAUUUUUAAAAGGAGGAACAAAAAGGAGACAGCUGCAGUCUCGUACUGAGCAUUAGUUUUAGAUGUGAUGCCUGGUACUGUGGCAGACAUAUUGUGACUAUCAGGAGAACAAUCUUAGUGUAGUGCUGAUGCACCCGGGAUGGCAGUGAAGGAAGAUGGAAAGAACCUGGAUCCGUGAUAAUGGCUUCGAAGCUGUCGAAUUAGCCAACCCUGGAUUCUCUCUUAUCUGGACUUAGGUGUAAUCCACUCUGAAUUUUUGUUAUUUCUAGCAAAGUAUCCUGACUCUAGCAUGGAUAGAUACAGAUAGCAUGUGUCUAGAGCUGUGCUGUCUGAUAUAAUAGCCACUAGCCACAUAUGGCUAUUGAAAUUCUAUUUAAGCAAAAUUAAACCUUUGCCUUUCCUUUUGCACUAGGUACGUUGCAAGUGGUCAAUAGCCACAUGUUGCUAGGGGCUACCGUAUUGCAUAGCACUGGUCUUAUAGAUCUUAUAGGUUAGGUGGAUUCUCAAUUUUUCUUCACACUCUUUUUCUAAUUGUUCCCUCUCUAUAAGAUUUUAAUUCCAUAUAUAUUAUAUGUGCUCUAUCUACGCCUGUUCCUUACACAUUGGAAAGAGUAAGACUUAUCCCCUCUCUAUUCCUCCAGAACCAAUUUUCACCUCCUUGGAGGUUGAGACUGUUCCCUGUUGCAAAUACAUGGCUAGUGUGGUAGUCAUAAGUAAGUUUAGGCAGGGAUUUUAGGUCACUGUAAAGAAUUUGGAUUUUAUUAAAAUUAGGAAACAAUGAAAGAAUUUUAAGGAUAGGAUUGGCGGGGUCAGUUUUGCCUUUAGAAAGUCACUUCAUAGGCAGAGGGGCCAAGAUAGCUGAUUAGAAGCAGCUGCAGUACUCAUGGAGAGGAAUGAAAGUGGCGAGUGAACUUAGCACCUUCAACUGAAAUAUCCAGGUUCUUGCAUUGGGACUGAUUAGGCAAACAACUUGACCCACAGAGAACAAAGAAAAGAAGGAUGGGGUGAUGACCCAACUGGGAACAGCCUGGAACCAAAGGAACUCAGCCAAGGGAAGUGGUGAGUGUGGUGCAGCCCCAGUCAGGAAACCACACUUUCCCCGUGGAUCUUUGCAACCUGCAGAUCAGGAGAUCCUCUUGUGAGCCCACACCACUAGGAGCCUUUUAAACAUAUGAAUGUAUGCUGAUGCUUUCAUUUUAUCCUGAGCUCCCUCAUCACACCCUAAAUCCAGAGCUUCUUACUCAAACUUCAUCAAGUUCUGCAUGCCGUGUUAUAUGCUGCCCCACCAAACUGAGUUUAACAGUGCUGCCCAAAACUUUAAAAGCAUUAUCUAACUGCUAACUUCUCUUCAUUCUCAUCAAGCCUUAUUGUGUGAUGCUAUGCCCCUUACGGACAUACAUACUGUAUGUCAUUCAAUCUAAAAUUCUACUAAAUAUAAGUUCCAUAAUUUCUUGCACCGCUAAGAAAUAUAAAACCUUGCCAAUUAAACUAUGACAAUACUUUUUUUAACCACUUAAAAUUUUCAUUUUAAAAAUUUUAAAGGGGUUCUUUUAGACCAGGGAUUUGCAAACUAUAGCUCAUGGUCCAAAUCCAACCACCUGUUCUUGUAAAUAAAGUUUAAUUGAGAAGUAGCCAAGUUCAUUGGUUUCCCUUUUGGCUGCUUUUGCACUACAAUGGGAGAAGUGAAUAGCUGGGACAAAGAUAGGAUGGCCUUUAGAGGCAGAAAUAUUUAUCUGGCCAACCCCUGCUCUUGCUUCAUUUAGACACAUUUUU